UCAUGAAUUCUCAAGUUUGCCUAGGCUGGAGAGGUGGGGAAUGCUGGUAAUUAAAAUUAAGAGAUUUUCUUUAGAAUGGGAAGUUGGUUUAUUACAUGGCUGAGCUCUCCUGUGGACUGAUGUAACUGUAUUUUGGGGCAGAAGACUUAGGUAUAUUGCCUGAAGGCUCUGGAACUACUGAUUGGGGUGCAUGAAGAAGUCUUACUGACUUCAGACGUAUUUCUUUAAUAAGUUGAAUUAUAGCAGUACCCUGGGAUCUAAUCAAGCAGAAGGCUCCUGGUGCACUUUUCCUGGAUGGCAUGCCAACUGUGAGAUGGAAGGCUGUGGCAGAAAAUACAACUCUCUACAUGGAAACUAGGAAGAGGACUGCUGAGACAAAUUCUAUGGACCAAGUAAUGUGGUGUGAUCGAGUGAACUGAAAUGCCAAACUCUGCAGAACUGCAAGAAAAGGGAGUGAAGGAGAAUAUGAUGCCGGGAUUAGAGCAUUUCUCCCUCUCUUUACAGCGGGAUCUCUACAUGUACCUUACAAAAACGCAGCACAGUGUUUUGGUUUGUACACUUGCUGGUUCAACUAAGUAGAAUUAUUUCAUCGAUAUUAAAAAAGGAGAUUCUGACAGACCCUAGCCCAGGAGCAUCCAGUAGCUAGAAGUCACUUUAAGAUGAUUUUACUGUGGCUCUUGCAGAGGUGGGAAUUAAACUUGUAUCUUCCACAUCUGAGAUGAGCCUGUGCCAUUUGGUUUCAGAGAAAGCAAGGAAGAAGUACACCACUUCCUUGCAGCCUGGAGGUGGAAUGUAAAUUCCCCGUGACCCUAUCCUAGCAGAAUCUCUCCCGAAUUGAAAUGAUGCAUUUUGGAGCUGCCAAAAGGAACACUUGUCAGGGUUUGUGCAACUCACUUCAGCGAUGUGCUUCUGAGAGUGAAUACAGAAUAGACAAGUGCAUGCAGCAUCCCAUGAGGCAUCCAAUUACUGCUGAAACUUUCUGCCAUGGAUCUCUCCAAUUUUUUUUCAAUCAAAACCAUGAUUUAUGGAAUUUUCUGGGAGGAAAUUUCAUUAUUGUCAGAAUACAUUCACCCUCCACUGGGGAAAGCAAACGGAGUAUUUUGUUUCCACUUGGGCUUGUGGAGGCUGUGGCUUGUAGAACCAAAUUACACUUUGGAUCCCACGGACAUGCAGUCGGUCUCUACCUGAACUGCCAGGGCGUCUCACGGGAGCUGUAGUCUUCUGGUGCUGCACGUACCAGAGCACCAAGCUUCAGCAUCCUUAAGGCAACUUUAAUCUCCCUCGCACUAUCUCCGGCUGAGCUAGUGCUCGUGCCACAGGAACCCGACGGCUGCCAGCUGAGGAACGGGACCUGGUGACUCAGAUCUAGUGUCCAUGUGCAAUAAAAGCCGUAUUAAACAGGGAACAGCUGAUUUUGCUCUGCAAAGACCCACAGAUUUCAUAGCCUUGUAAAAGCAGGAACCAGAUGUAUAUUUUAAUGAAAUGUAAUGAAUUCAGGAUUGGCCUGCCAGCAAGGGAGGGAUGCAGAGAUGAUAGGAACUGAAGUGAGGUAUUUAUUCAUUUCUCUGCAGAAUUUAUUGGGUCAAAACCAAGAAAUACUUAAGCUGAGCUUUUCAAAGUGGGGUAGGUUCCCAGCUCCUGCUGACAGGAGCUGCGGGGCAUACUCUCUCUUGGUUUUCUGGAAAAUCUAAAUGGCCUCCAUGGAGUUUUUUUUCUACUCCUUUUCUGAUGUCCUUGGAGUGCUGUGAAAUGUGCGGUGCUCAUACGUGAUGGGUACAUCUUUCUUUCUUGAGAAAGGUGGCUUAGAUAAUGUAUCACAUCAUGCAUAACACCCUUAUAGUGCCAAUCACAGAGCAACUCAGGUGAUUCCUUAGCUUAGAAACAUGUCAGACAGGGAUGUUUAUUGCCCUCACUUUACAAACUGAGACAGAACGAGCUACAUGUAAUCACACAACUGGAUCAGAAAGAUACUCUGGAUUUCGCAGUGGAUUUAUUUGUCAUGUGUUCUGUUAGCAUUGGCUCAAAUUUAUUUCCUAGCAGUGAUCACAUCCCUGUUAGCACACGGCUGCACGGUGUUAGUUUCCAUACGGCCUGAUUUAUUAGCGGUGUUUCUGCGAAGACUUCAUAGCCGGAAAAGAUCCCCACAUACCGUAUGUGAGGAGAGCUGCUUAAAAUCAGCCUGCCUCUUGUCUGGAAGGUGACGUUUCAGCACAGACAGCUCUCCACAACUUACACUUUUUUUUUUUUUUUUUUUUUUUUUUUUUCACUUUGCAAGAGAUAUUUUGUAAAUAUUUGUCAGUUUGCCAGUGUUUGUGCUCUUGCAGCCCUGAACAAAGCUUGUUACUGUUAGUGAACAUAUCUGCCUUUCUUGGCACCUUUCCAUGUCAUUCUUAGGAUUCCACGUGUUUUUAACAUACUACAAAUAAAUUUUA